rnacentral:rRNA from 1 species
GUGGCAGCCGCCGCGGUAAUACGGAGGGUGCAAGCGUUAUCCGGAUUCACUGGGUUUAAAGGGUGCGUAGGCGGGUAGGUAAGUCAGUGGUGAAAUCUCAGAGCUUAACUCUGAAACUGCCAUUGAUACUAUCUAUCUUGAAUAUUGUGGAGGUAAGCGGAAUAUGUCAUGUAGCGGUGAAAUGCUUAGAUAUGACGUAGAACACCCAUUGCGAAGGCAGCUUACUACACAUAUAUUGACGCUGAUGCACGAAAGCGUGGGGAUCAAACAGGAUUAGAUACCCCGGUAGUC